rnacentral:lncRNA from 13 species
UUCCAUCUGCGACUUGCUCUCUUUGGGGAAAGGAUAUUUCUUGAUGCAUUCGACUUUAUUUGAUAAUCUAACGAGUUUGUAUGAAAAUGUCUUAGAAGUAUGGGAGAACAUACAGAGGAAUGCCAUUGAAAUGCAUGCUCAAGAUAAAAUUAUACUGAGUCCUGCGGAUAGUUGGUUACAUUUGUAGACUCGACGCAAUUAGAAACAUAUCUAAACCACGGUAGGACAAAGGAUAAAAAAUUUGAUCAAGAUCUUAUGAUUCUGCGAUAAAGAAUGCGAUGUUUUCCUCCAAAAAUGCACUCCAUCAACGUUGCCAAACCAGCAACGUUGAUGGAGUGCAUUUCUUAGGGUAUGAUUUCUGGAGUAGAAUAUCUGUCAGAAGGGAAUAGAGUCAAUUAUGAUAAAUAUACUAAUCAUGAUUUAUUCUAACCAUGUUUUAAUCUGAAACUGUACAUAAUAAAAUUCCCAUUAUGCAAAAUACCUUGUACCAUACAAAAAAACCUAUUUGUAAUACAGGUAAAAUUAUAUUGUUACUGCAAAGAGCUAUUGUUACAAUUGUAUAAUCAAUAAAUCUUCCAUUUAAUUAAAAAAA